GCCCGCUUGGCACAGCGGUAAUGCGCCUCACUAGUAUUAUUAUCCUGCUCUUCGGAGCAAUGAGGAGAUGACUGGUUCGACUCCAGUAGUGGGCA